CACGUAGGGCGCAAGCGUUGUCCGGAAUUAUUGGGCGUAAAGAGUGUGUAGGCGGUGUUCUAAGUUUGUCGUGAAAUCUCCCGGCUCAACUGGGAGGGUGCGCCGAAUACUGAAUGACUUGGAGUGCGGGAGAGGAAAGUGGAAUUCCUGGUGUAGCGGUGAAAUGCGUAGAUAUCAGGAGGAACACCGGUGGUGUAGACGGCUUUCUGGACCGUAACUGACGCUGAGACACGAAAGCGUGGGUAGCAAACAGG
rnacentral:rRNA from 1 species